rnacentral:rRNA from 1 species
UCUCUCCGGGUUGAAAACUCCGGUGGUUAUAGAUGGACAUGCGUUGUAUUAGCUAGUUGGUGAGGUAACGGCUCACCAAGGCAACGAUACAUAGGGGGACUGAGAGGUUAACCCCCCACACUGGUACUGAGACACGGACCAGACUCCUACGGGAGGCAGCAGUGAGGAAUAUUGGUCAAUGGACGCAGGUCUGAACCAGCCAUGCCGCGUGCAGGAAGACGGCUCUAUGAGUUGUAAACUGCUUUUGUACGAGGGUAAACUCACCUACGUGUAGGUGACUGAAAGUAUCGUACGAAUAAGGAUCGGCUAACUCCGUGCCAGCAGCCGCGGUAAUACGGAGGAUUCAAGCGUUAUCCGGAUUUAUUGGGUUUAAAGGGUGCGUAGGCGGUUUGAUAAGUUAGAGGUGAAAUCCCGGGGCUUAACUCCGGAACUGCCUCUAAUACUGUUAGACUAGAGAGUAGUUGCGGUAGGCGGAAUGUAUGGUGUAGCGGUGAA